AGGCAGGUGCAGAACAACUCAAGACGUCCGGAGUGACUACCGAAAAUGGGAACUAUGAGGCAUGUACUACCUGGGAAUGAUGCCAACUGCUGACAAAAGGCUUUACUGCACGGUUCUGUGAGAAGCCUUUAACUCAUUGCUCUGAAAUGCUUCAGGAAUAUCUGGCACAGAAUUGUUUGGCCAACUGUAGAUAAAUCUGUCAAACCCUUUGGCUUUGUUACAAGACAGCAUUUCAACCCACAAGUUUCCUCUGCAACCUGCAAAAGUAUCUGUCCUUAAGGCUGAGGUAGUAGAUUGAAUAGUUGUGGGGUUUAUGUCCUCCCUCUGAGAUAACUAUACAAUCUACUGUCUUUCCUAAGGAGACAGGUUGAGCUGCUGUGAAGCCGAAGCCUGUUUUCACGUGGGAAGCUCUGUGGAUAUAAAGGAACUCAUGAACGGGCAGAAAAGUAGAUUCAAGACAUAACCCAACACUCAUCUCUGAGGAGAAGACUGCUGACAAAACAAAGACUUUAUAUAUUUACAAGAAACAAUGAUGAAACUGGUCUUUUCUAAUAACAACAUGUUUUGAAGUUGGUACAUAUCUAGCAAUGUCUUGUUUUUAAGGAUAUUUAUUGGUGCCUGGAGUUGAGCCUAGCAAGGUGAGGUAGUAGGUUGUAUAGUUUGUGGGAUGGAGUAAAUCCUACUCAGGCGAUAACUAUACAGUCUAUUACCUUCCUUGAGAGGUACAAUGAGUGCUUGGAAUGAGGCUCGCUCACACUGACCGAGUGGUGAAGGAGCCACUCUGACGCCAUCUUGUGGCCAAAGACUAUCAUCACUCUGGGAGUCAUUGCAGCUUUGGGAACUCUAUUGUGUCUAUGGGGUUAUAAUCAAAAAACAACCUAAUGAUAAGUGUAGCUUGCCCAAUCACCAGGUUCUUAUCAUCCAUUGCACCAGGAUGGACAUCACCACUUCUCUUAGCUUACUGUACAAGUUCUCUUUGUUCCUUUUUAAAAGUUGCACCCGGCAGCUUUGUUAAUAGCUCUAAACAGGGAAAUGUUAGUGGCAUUGAGGAGAUAUUCU